rnacentral:rRNA from 1 species
AGCGUAGGCCGGAGAUUAAGCGUGUUGUGAAAUGUAGGCGCUCAACGUCUGCACUGCAGCGCGAACUGUUUUCCUUGAGUACGCACAAAGUGGGCGGAAUUCGUGGUGUAGCGGUGAAAUGCUUAGAUAUCACGAAGAACUCCGAUUGCGAAGGCAGCUCACUGGAGCGCAACUGACGCUGAAGCUCGAAAGUGCGGGUAUCGAACAGGAUUAGAUACCCUGGUAGUCCGCACGGUAAACGAUGGAUGCCCGCUGUUGGUCUGAACAGGUCAGCGGCCAAGCGAAAGCAUUAAGCAUCCCACCUGGGGAGUACGCCGGCAACGGUGAAACUCAAAGGAAUUGACGGGGGCCCGCACAAGCGGAGGAACAUGUGGUUUAAUUCGAUGAUACGCGAGGAACCUUACCCGGGCUUGAAUUGCAGAGGAAGGAUUUGGAGACAAUGACGCCCUUCGGGGCCUCUGUGAAGGUGCUGCAUGGUUGUCGUCAGCUCGUGCCGUGAGGUGUCGGCUUAAGUGCCAUAACGAGCGCAACCCCUCUCCUUAGUUGCCAUCAGGUCAAGCUGGGCACUCUGGGGACACUGCCACCGUAAGGUGUGAGGAAGGUGGGGAUGACGUCAAAUCAGCACGGCCCUUACGUCCGGGGCUACACACGUGUUACAAUGGCAGGUACAGAGAGAUGGUGUUCUGCAAAGCGCAUCAAAUCCUUAAAGCCUGUCUCAGUUCGGACUGGGGUCUGCAACCCGACCCCACGAAGCUGGAUUCGCUAGU